ACAUUUCCCAGUAUUCCCUUGGCCACUACCAACAGGAAAGACGGGGAGGGAGUGAGGAAGCUGAGACCUCAUGCUGUAGCCUGCUGCGAAUGGAGAGCUGCGCUGGUUGAGCAUCCAUGAGGCCGAAGACCUGUGGUGCUGGGACUGGCACCAGGACAGCAGGCUCCUGGGCUACAGGAACACAGCUAGGGUGGGAGAGGUCUUCGGAAAGUUCUUCUCGGAAGGGCAGAGAAGACUCUUCCUCCGGACGGCAGUGCUGGCCUUCCACAACCCCCUGCUGCGUGUCCAGGGGCGGCUCUAGGCACCAGCAAAGGAAGCACGUGCUUGAGGCAGCCCAUUUGCAGGAGCGGCAGGGAUCCAGCAUAGCAGCUGAGAACCAACAGGGGCCCCUGGGAGUUGUACUUCGUUGGUUAGCUCCCUGCCUAUAGAGCCAGCCCUUGAGCAGGGAAAGAACUACAUUUCCCAGUAUUCCCUUGGCCACUACCAACAGGAAAGAGGGGGAGGGAGUGAGGAAGCUGAGACCUCAUGCUGUAGCCUGCUGCGAAUGGAGAGCUGUGCUGUGAGUAGGGAUUCCGUAUUUUAACAUUCCAAAAAUAGGACACUCCAUGGGGAGGGAGGGUA